GUGACCCCAGGAUGGGCGAGGCCACCCGCUGAGUU
rnacentral:rRNA from 2 species